AAUAUAAUUUUUUUCUAAACUGAAUAGUUUGCGCGAGAGACACUUCCAAAGUGGUAAAAUGUGUGUCCCCCCCCCCCCCCCUCUGUAACUUCUAAAAUAAGAGAAUGAUAAAACUAAAAAAAAUAUAUGAUGUACAUUACCAUGCAAACUUCCACCGAAAAUUGGUUUGAACGAGAUCUAGUAAGUAGUUUUUUUUUAAUACGUCAUAAAUCUUACAGGGCACACAUUUUACCACUUUGGAAGUGUCUCUUGCGCAAACUAUUCAGUUUAGAAAAAAAUGAUAUUAAAGACCUCAAUAUCAUUUUUGAAGACCUAUCCAUAGAUACCCCACAC